AUUAGAAAUCAAUCAAAAAUGAAUACAAAGGUGCAAAGAUGCACAGAGAUAUUCAUUGCAGGACAGGAAUAUUCACUGGCAAAACAAACAAGCAAACUGGAAACAAUCUAAAUUUUUAAUAAUUUAGGUAUGAUGAUACAGAUUUUGCAACAGAAUACUACGUAGUGAUUAAAAGAGAAGGAAUUGACACGGUAUGAAGUUUAUGCACAACUAGUAUAUACUAGGAUGCCAGCUUUGAAAAUAGGAAAACAGAAAGGAAUAUUACACAGAAGAGGAGAAAACAAUAUGGUGACCAUGGAGGUAGAGGUUAGAGUGAUGCAGCCACAAGCCAAGGAAUGCCAACAGCCACUGGAAGCAGGAAGAGGUAAUGAGAACUCUGUAACCCAAGAUGUUUUGCAUUUUGUCUUAGCCACCAGAAAGCUCAGAGGAUGCUGAUUUUAUUUGAAUGUCGGUCAGCAAUCCUACAGUAACCUGACUCCAAAGACGGCUGCCAUGAAUUCCUUCCCUCCCUGUACUUCCCCGUUGAGGAGCGGAGUCUCUAGAAUCUGAGCUGGACUGGGUUUGACCUACAGAACACUGCAGAAGUAUAUGGCAUGAGAGAGUAUAGCCAGCUCCAGGCUUGGCAUUCAAGAGGAAUGGAGUUUCUGCUUCCUGUAUUUGGGAGCCGUGAGCUGUCUGGUAAGAAGGUUAGACCACUCCACUCAAGAGAGAGGCUGCGUGCACAGGCACUGAAGGACUAGAUGUGUGAGCAAGGAGGCCAUCUUGGGGAACAGCCAGCCCAGCCGAGCCUACAAAAGACUCCAGCCCCAGUCAUCUGAUGGCAGCCACAGAAGGGAGCCCAGAAAUGCCCAGCUGAGCCUAGACUGCAACACAGAAGGCUUCUGGAAGAUACUGGACAUGAAGGGAAUGAAGAGGAGCAAGCAGAGCAACAUGCUGGAAUUCCUGCACCUGCCCCUCCCCAUGCUGCCCUCGCAGAUGGAAAGCUCCAGCUCACUGUCCCUGAUGGCGCCAACACCAGAGCAGGAAUCAUCUGGCAUCUGCAAACUCAUUAAAAAGAGACUGUGGGGCUGGGCGC